ensembl:lncRNA
UGAGAAAAAGAGAUGUGUGGUUCACAUUCCCACAUUUCCAGUUCAUGGAAUCUUCUUCAGCGUCCAGUCUGGGAAGCAAUCCAGCUUCACACUUGCUACCUCUCUUUCUGAAUGUCCGUUCCCUUUUCUUGUGGAAUAUAAAAAACAAAAUGGCGAGUUCAGGUGUAGUGGUAUACUGUUCUCUUGUUUUCUCCAUUGUGUCCCUGUAUUAUUCCUUUUUGUUUCUUCUUUGAUGCCAAGCGAUGGGCCAGUAUUCAGGGAAAGGUUUUGUACACAAGUGUGUGUGUGUGUGUGUGUGUGUGUGUGUUUCAGCUUGUGUGUAUGUGCUUCAAACGAAAACAGCAAAAAGCAAUACCCAUUGCAGAUCAGAGUAACACAUCCUCCGUGCACGAUGUAGUUAAUGCACACUCACACUCACGCACACACACACACAUAUUAGAUGUUUUCUAAGAGAAUCAUUACAAAACAUGUACCAGCACAGAGCACACAGAUCUAGUCAUCUGCCAAGGCUUUGAUAACUAGCCUGACGUUCUUAAAAUGAAGAAGCCUUAUACUGUACAUGUAGUCUAUAUACAUACACACAGACUUAGAGAGAAAGAGAGGCGGAAAGGGAGUUGGGGUAGCGGGAGGGAAGGAAGGAUAGAUAGAGAUGGAGAGAGAGAGAGAGAGAGAGAGAGAGAGAGAGAGAGAGGCAGUGCACCGAAACGAGUGGAGUCUAUUCUCCAUAUGCACCUAUAAAAACACUUAGUAUUUACAUGAGUGUUGAGAUUAAUGUACUGUGGCAUACUGUCCCCUAUGGAUUCACACACCCACACCCACACACACACACACUCACACACACACACACAUACCCACCCACACAUACACACACACACACACACACACACUCACUCAGACAAGGCAAGUAGACAUCACAGGAUGAUAGCGAACAAACAUAAGAAAUCCCUUUCAAAACACACACACACACUACUCUAUGUGUUUUUCUGCUUCAUGAGUGUAUACAUAGACCAGCAACUAGGUGAUCUGUGUCGUCUAACUAGUUCAGUCGCACACACACACACACACACACACUCUCUCUCUCUCUGACAGAUUCACACACAGCAUAACAUACACAAAGAGUGAAUGGCUCAUAUUGUCUAUGGCUGUAGCUGUAGAGGGAAUGGCUUGUGUAUAUGUGUUUGGUUUGUUUCUUCCAGGGCUGUGGUUAUUGGCAGUGUUGGGGCCUGACAGUGGUGGGGCUGUUGGGGUAGCAUUAGCAGAGCUUAACAGGAUGCUUAAUCGAUUACAGAGGUGAAAUUAGAUUUCGAGGGUGGUUGGAGUGGGGGGGGGGGGG